rnacentral:piRNA from 1 species
AUGGAGGAAGAUAUUCCAAGCAUAGUGACUUUGCAGAACUUUAGCGAAGAGCAGAUGAAUGAUCAAGCUAUUAGAAAAAUCGCUGAUAAAUUACAAAGUUCUCCUAAUAAAUCCUUUGUAAAAAUCGAUAACACGCUCUACAGAAAAAAAUAUGAUCCAAUGGGGAAACCAUGGCUUUUGGUGGUUCCACGCCAUUUAAGGCAGGAAUUACUGAAAAAUGUCCAUGAUUCACCCACAGCUGGUCACCUCGGAUUUACUAAAACCUAUGACCGAAUAAGAAAAAGUAUUAAUGGCCCGGAAUGUAUAGAACGGUUAGAAGCUAUGUGGCACACUGUUCAGAUUGUCAGAGGCGUAAACAUCAGCCCCAACUCCCCUCAGGGCACUUACAGCCAAUACCUGUUCCUGAAGUUGCCUUUGAAAAGGUAGGAAUGGAUCUCCUGGGGAGAUUUCCAACAUCAGAAGGUGGCAACCGUUGGAUUAUUGUAUGUACGGACUACCUAACGAAAUAUGCGAUAACUAAAGCUCUAACCACAAGUGAAUCCAUGGAAGUCGCCAAAUUCUUCAUUGAAGAUGUCAUCUUAAAGCACGGCGCGCCGAGGGAAUUAAUCACGGAUAGAGGAAGGAACUUCACAUCUUCAAUGAUAAGUGAUCUGAACAACCAGUGCAGAAUAACCCAUCGGAAGACGACCGCCUAUUACCCCCAGACAAACGGACUCACGGAGAGGUUGAAUAAGACCAUAGCAGACAUGCUGUCCAUGUAUGUAGAUGUCAACCAGAAAGAUUGGGACAGGAUUCUUCCAUUCGUUACAUUUGCAUACAACACAGCAAAACAAGAGUCUACUGGGUUCACCCCAUUUUUCCUUGUACACGGGCGUGAAGCCGAGACUCCACUUGACGUGUUAUUCCCCAAGUUAUUGCCAGAAGACGACGAUUUCAUCCAAACUCUAGGGGCAAGAGCCGAAGAAGCACGAAAACUGGCACGUAUCCACUCCAUGAGAUCUCAAGAUAGCAAUAAACAUCGCUAUGACGCCCAUUACAGAAAUAUAAUUUAUCAGCCUGGAGAUCUUUUAUGGAUCUUUAUUCCUGUGCGUAAAGUGGGAUAUUCGGAAAAACUAAUGAGACGUUACUUCGGCCCAUACAAAGUAAUCCGAAAAAUAUCUGAUGUGACCUAUGAAGUUGAAACAUUUGGAAACCAGCAAGGUCGUCGUAAAACAAAAUAUUUAGUUCACAUUUGUAGGAUGAAACCUUAUUUAAACCCAGAGGACCAGGAGGACCAGCUAGAAGAGGACCCAGAAGAUGACUCGACAAACUUCCAGGAAGAAGACAUCCCCACUGAACAAACACAACAACCACAGACCCGCGAAGAGAUCUCAGGCCCUAUCACCCGUUCUCGAGCCUUGAGACUGAGGAUGUAAGUCUCCUUCUGAGCAUCGGGUCGAUGCUCUUUAUAGGAGGAGGCUAUGUGGCGAAGAAAUAUUUUUGUUAUUUAAUUUAAUAUUAUUCAAUGAAAAUAUAUUCAACAGAUUAUAAAAAUAUAUAUUAAUCUGUAUUUGUGAAAUCAUCUUUAAAAUAUUUCUUUGCUUGCUUGCUUAAGAUUCUCUAGCGGUAUAUAGUUUUGCUGACUUGUUAAUAAUUGUCGACUCGUCGCUGUGACGUCAUCAAUAAAUACUUUUACAUCUUAGCAUAUUUCAAGACUUGAUUUCUACGCUACAAUAUCUUUAUAUUUUUUAAUCCUUUUUCAUAUAUUUUUAUACAUUGGGCUUAUCAUUAUUAUUUGUUAACAUUUCUCUUUUUAUUAUUAAUCAUUAUUAUUAAGGAAAACAUACCCAAUGUUAUAAUUCUACAACCCCAUAAUAUAUAUCAAACCAAUUUGUACACAAAUUAUUUCCCCCCAUUAUAAUUAUCUUAUGACUUCAUCUAUAAUCACCAUAAGCUAAUUUUCAUCAACCGGGGCAUAAACUGUUGUAAUAUAUUCCAAUAUAUAUCUAUGUCUCCAUGUAUUGUAUAGAUGUAUAUGUAAUUGCCAAAUAAAAUCGAGUGAGUUACAGUCGGCGCCAGAAAGCCAGAAACGGGUCCGAAAAACAAGUCGGGUAUGCCCCCUUCUUAUGCAAACAGAUUAGUCCGCUUUGAGACAGGAAUGACAGAGUUCUGCCCUGACCGGCGUCGGCUACACUGGCUCUCUCGCCAUCUCUAUGGUGCCAUCCAACAUGUCUCGUCCUUUUGUGUAAUCCCAAUCACGCCUGAAACCAGUCUAAUCAUUGUGGCCACCACGACUGCAAAUCAACAUGCCACACUGCAUUCAUCCAACAAGAUACAACAACUACAUUACUACAUAUAUAUAUAUCAAGAAUAGCCAUCCACGAACGCGUUUCGCGUUUUGUCAAGAAAUUGGGUUGGCUAAAUAUCACGGAGCAAGCUGAAUAAACGUUUAGUUUAUUUUUGCUCCACUAGAUGGCGCUCUGCCAUCUAAAAAGCACAUGUGCUCGUGGUCAGGAGAUGCCUUCUUCAUUUUUAAUAUCAACACCUGACCCACUUAUCUUUUAAUGUUUUAUAUUGUUUUUUCAUGUGUUAAGCGUCUAUACGCAAAUUUGGCCUUAAAUACCCAUUUCUUGAUUUCUCAAGAAGCCAUUGAGAACAAAAAUAUUUUUGGUCGCAGUGGUUACAGCCUACUCCACGCUGGCGAGCGCCAACAGCGCGAAACGCGUUCGUGGAUGGCUUUUUUUGAUUUGUCAAGAAAUUGGGUUGGCCAAAUAUCACGGAGCAAGCUAAAUAAAUGUUUAGUUUAUUUGUGCUCCACUAGACGGCGCUCUGCCAUUUUAAAAGCACAUGUGCUCGUGGUCAGGAGAUGCCUUCUCUAUUUUUAAUAUAUAUAUAUAUAUCACUCAGAGGACGAAGCUGAAAUACUAUUACGGCCCCCUCGGCCCAGCUAAAAAGUGUAAUUUUUGAAAAUUUUGAAAAAUACUUUAAGCAUGAUCCAAAUGAAAUAUUAAUUGUAAUAAUGGUAAAAAUAAGUGUUGAAAACAUUAUAAAAGAUAAAUUUUAAAAAUAAAUUCAAUAUAUAUUUUAUUAUUAAAUUUUGAAAAAAUCAAAAUUUUAUUCAAAAACUAGCGGAUGUACCCGGCUUCGCCCGUGUUUUACCCGAGUAAAGGUUUGUCUAACGAAUCUCUCGAUAAAGUGAACAUUUUUUCCCGGUCCCUUGAAAAAUACUCGAUAAGUUGAAUAAAAUCAAUAUUAAUCGGUACCCGAGUAAAGGUCUGUCUAACGAACAUUUGUUAAAACAAUUCUCUAUAAACUUAUAAAAAGAAAUAGAUAUAUUUUGAUAAUUUGAAACUGAUAAAAUGAUCAUUUUUUCCCGGUCCCUGUGUGCCGUGUCAUUCUGAAUUUUGGCUUUCCUAAUUUUCUACAUUACAAAAUCAUCGUUUUAUCUAGUGAACAUUUUUUUCCCGGUCCCUUGAAAAAUACUCGAUAAGGUUGAAUAAAUUCAUGGUCGUUUAUGGAAGAUGGACGAAGUUCCCGGAGGUCAUCUUGGGCAAGCUCCCGCGAGGCUUUUUUUCUUGUCUACUUGGCAUAGCUGUGUCACCAACUCUGCCCUGAUUGGUCGGUGGGCGGCCGGCGGUCGGGCGAAUCCAUUCUCUCACGGGGUGGGGCAGACCCAAGGUCAUCAGGAGCAGCAAACCUAAGCCUAUCUCUGUCUCAAUGGCGGCGCUGCUUGCGAGUUAAAGCUACAAAUCUGCAAAUAACUCUAAGGAUAUUAAAGAUAUUCAAGAUAUUAUUUUUCGUAAACCUUUCCGGGGAUACACCUAAUAAUAUCCCAAAAUUUCACGGCGAUUGGAUGUAUGGUUUUUGAAUCCAUAGAGGACACACACACAGACAUUCAAUUUUAUAUAUAUAGAUGAAAAUCACUCCAACUCAAAAAUGAUCCAAAAAUAAAUUUAUAUAAUGAAAAUGACAUUUAUUUUUUAAAAAAUGAAGUAAUUUAUAUAUAUAUACAAUAAUUUACUGCGAUAAAAUAAUUUUUAUACCUUAUAAUAAUCUUUUAUUGUAUGGUAAAGUUUGAAGCAAUCACCAAGGCAUAGUGGAACUAGGCAGGUCUCACAUUCAUAGGCUGUAUCUUUUCUUGCCUGCUUGCCAGAGGUUACCCUGCCUUUUUCAGCGCAAACUUUGCAUCUGCGUUGGGCAUAUGUUUUGCCUUCAACUUUGAUUCGGCGAAUAAAAUGACGUCCAAUAAGUCGAUCAGAUUGUUCAUCGCUUGAAGGUUGAGCAUCAAGAAUAUCUUGAUUGGCUUCUGAGCAAAGAGCUUCGCAUAUUGAAAUAUGGAAGUCCCUCAAAGACAUUUUAGCAUCAGGAUUCAAUUUAUUGUAAAUUAUGCAUGAAUUUACAAUAGCAAGUCCAUAUAUAUGGAAAAAUAGUUUCUUCCACCAUUUCAUUGUGCGUCGAUCAAAAGAAUAAUAGGAGAGCAUCUGGUCACUUCGGUCCACUCCAAUUUUAUUCAUAUUGUAGUCAAGAACAACUUGUGGUUUGAAUAUUGGAGCUUGAGAAAGUCCAGACCUCCCCAUGACUUCAACCAUUUGAUGGUCGUGAACAGUUGAGAUCAUCCAAACAUCUCUGGUGUGGCGCCAUUUCAUUGCCAUUAGGCUACCCUUGAAUUGAUGCAUUUCUUCACCUUUCUUCAAUUUUUUUGAAAAGGAUUUCUUAGGAAGACCUUUCCUAUUAGUUUUUACUGUACCAACAGCCAUUGUUUUCUUUUCCCAUAGAUAGUUGAAGAGGUGGGGCGAAGAAAACCACCUGUCACAAUAAAUGAUGUGACCUCUGGUGAAGAGAUGAGAGGCCAAUCGUUCUACCAAAUUUGGUAUAGAGUUAUAGCCUUCUUCCUGGCUUGGAUGUUUACCUGUGUAUAUGUUGAUAUUACAGGUAUAACCAGAAUUGGCUUCACAAAUAUGGUAGAUCUUUAUUCCAUAUUUGUGAGGCUUGCCUUUUAUGUAAAUACGGAACCUUAUUCUUCCUCUGAAUGGACAAAUAGCUUCAUCAAUGGUCAGAUUCUGGGUCGGGGAAUAAAGGCAUUGGAAUUUUUUGGUAAGAGGAUCUAGAAAAGUUCUUAUUUUAUAUAGAGGAUCAUGUCCACUUUGUCCAAAAGGAAUAUAGGAAGAAUUAUCAGCCAGGUGAAGCAUUGACAAAAUUGCUUCGAACCUAUUUCUAGCCAUUAUUUUUUUACAGAAAGUGGUAUUGAGGACAGAAUUGGCGGACCAGUAAUCUUUCAUUCUUGGCUUUAUAACAAGGCACAUGUGUAUAAUGCAGGCAAAAAAUAACUUUAUUUCUGCAAUUGACACAGCUUUCCAAUUAGCCAGAAAGCUAUAUGCCUUGAGAGGACCCCUUUUCUUCUGUUUAUCAAUUGUAAUCAAUUGUAAAAGUUUUGAAAAUAUUAUAUGGGGACAUUGUUUGUGUAAAAAAAUCCAUUUUAGGUCCAGGUUGGUCUAAGAAAACCGGACAGUUUACUGAGGGAUUCCGAACAUUUGCCCAACCCUCAUCCUGGGGCUCUUCAAGUCUCCUUUGCUUAGAUGGAGGCUGAGCAAAUUCUCCUUCUUCCAAAUCAUAUAUUUCAGUUUCAUCUGAAUCCAGGCAUUCAACAUAAUCUGGAUCAACAACUGGAUCAUCAAUUUCAGACCCAGAAUCAGAGCAAAAUUCGUCUAGAUGUUUUUCAUCAAGAGAAUAUUUAUAAAAUGGACCUACCAAUUUGGAGGUGCUUGGUUGACUAGGAUCCAUCAUAAAAUGAAAAUAAUCCUUCAAAAAAAGUAUUUUAUAAGUGAAAGAUAUUAAAAAUAAGACAAAAAAACAAGAGCGCUAUAAAUAGGUAAGUUGAGCACACUGCAGUUGUUUACAGAAGAGGCAGGAAGUGGGAAAUCACGUGUGCCAUGAUGUAAAGGGGGUGGAAGGGGGGCGAGAGGGAGGGGAGGCGCCUGUCAAGGUCAUGUCAUCAUGAGACGGCCGCGAAAAGUUGUUGGGGCCAGGUGCCCAAUGACGUGGAUUGCCACCCGAUUUUCUAUUGAUUUUUAAAGUUUCAUGACGUGAACCACGUCAUUGGGGUUUGGUGCUUUAAUAGCAAUGACGUGGAUCCACGUCAUUGGGGUUGAAAGUGAUAUGUAAGAUUUGCCGGGAGGAAAUUGAUCCAUGAAAGCAUAGGGCGCCUCUCCCGUUAAAAUUAACGUCAAAAGCUGACGCCAUCUAUUGACCGUCGCCGCAAACUAGUGGCCUCGGGUCGGCGACAAAGCCACAACAUCAGCUUUGGCAAACUGAAAAGCGUCCACCUAGAGACCAUGGUUUCGGGCUAAUGGCCCUCGUCAGCUUAGGGCGGACUUUAUUCCAUGAGAUCCACACGGGAUCUAAUGGAAUCUUCACAAUCUACCAAAGAGGUGUUUUGCUGGCCCGGUGGCUGGGCGUGUGGAUCUCAUGGAAUCUUCACAAUCCCGUGUGGAUCUCAUGGAAUAAAGUCCGCCCUAAGCUGACGAGGGCCAUUAGCCCGAAACAAUGGUCUCUAGGUGGCGCCUGCAGGUUCCUGGCGACUCCAUCGCUUCGAGCUCGCUCAAGGUGGGUCGGAGUGCGAGUCCGAGACAUGGCCGGCCUUGAUCCGCCGCUCAAUACCAGGACGACAAGGAGUGUCCACGAGGACGCAGCUGCCCUUGGAUCAUUCUGCCAGCGGCUGCUGAACAAGAAUGCUAGGAGCGAUUACCAGGAGAGGUCCUUGGAAGAAGCCGUGGUGCUGCGCGGGACAGCUACUACGUUCCUGUGCAUAUGCACACGCACGGCGUGACGCAUGCUGGAGCAUCCCCGCCUGGCCUACGUUCCCACCUCACAGUAUCUCCGACGCUGGGCGCCUGUGUUCGACGUGCCCUCCUCUGGUGUGCCCUUCUCAUCUAUACGUCGCUGCUCCUUCAGGGGCCAUGUGGCGGACAUCGCAAUGCGACUGGCCCAGCACGCCCUGCCCCAUCCGGAGCACCUGGCGUCGAGUUAGCCUGUCUGCAUCGCCUGCGGUCCCAUCGACCUGUCGCUGCCCCACCGUUACUGGUCCUGCAGCGCCGUUCGCCCUGUCAUCCGAGAGGUGUUCUCCAUCAUCGGCCGGCCGCCGGACCUGCAGUCCUGGAUCUUUCCAGUUGGUCUCGAGGACCACGCCAUCACCAUCUCCUCAGCCUACUUAUUCUUCAUAGAUCGCGAAAUGCGUAGUGUAGCUGGAGACCCACUGGCGAUUCUCCACCAAACUCUGCAGCGCUGGCAGAGGCGCCAUAUUUAUUGUUCAUAGUGUAUAUAAUCCAUAUUAUAUAUAUAUAUAUAUAUAUAUAUAUAUAUAUAUAUAUUAAAAAUGGCAUAUCCUGACCAGGAGCACAUGUGCUUUACAGAAGGCAGAGCGCCAUCUGGUGGAACAGAAUUCAACUAAACAUUGAUUUAGCCUGUUCCCUGUAAUUUGGCCAAUCCAAUUUCUUGAUAAAUCAAGAAAAGCCAUCCACGAACGCGUUUCGCGCUUUUGGCGCUCGUCAGCGUGGAGUAGGCUGAACCACUGCGACCAAAAAAUAUUUUUUGUCUCCCCAAUGGCUUCUUGAAAAACCAAGAAAUGGGUAUUUAAGGCCAAACUUGCGUAAAUACGCUUAGCACAUGAAAAAUCGAAAGAAAAAAAAAAGAUGAAAAGAUCAGGCGUUGAAAUCAAUAUUAAAAAUGGCAUAUCCUGACCAGGAGCACGUGUGCUUUACAGAAGGCAGAGCGCCAUCUGGUGGAACAGAAAUCAACUAUACAUUGAUUUAGCCUGUUCCCUGAUAUUUGGCUAACCCAAUUUCUUGAUAAAUCAAGAAAAGCCAUUCACGAACGCGUUUUGCGCUUUUGGCGCUCGUCAGCGUGGAGUAGGCUGAACCAUUGCGACCAAAAAAUCAUUUUUGAUCCCAAUGGCUUCCCGAAAAACCAAGAAAUGUGUAUUUAAGGCCAAACUUGCGUAACCCACUUUCAUUUUUCCUAUUGUUUUUCAUUAUAAUAUAUAUUUAAAAAAUUGAGGUAUAUAUAUUCUAUUUUAUAAAUUUAAUAUUUCAAAUGUCGUGUUUAUAUUAAGAUGAAAAUAAUAGAAUACAACAAUGAAAGAAAUAAAAUAUGAAUAUCUCAUUUUAUUGGAAAUUCUAGUAACAUAAAUUAUUUUCACUCAAAAUCCACAAUCAGCCUUAUAUAUAGAAGUGGAAAUAUUUUAGAGUAAAUAUUUAUAUUUUAUGCUGUUUUAAGAAGUUAGUAUAAUGUCGAUCGAAGCGUUGUUACAAUUCGAUGUUAAUGGAAGCUGUAUCUUUCUGUUUGUACCAUAGAGCGGUAGAAAAUGGCGCAUCGUCCUGUAUUAAGUUUUGCCCAGAUCCCAGGUUGAGAGGGAUGAUUACUUCUACAGAGUUUUGAGAAGGUUUGAGGAAAGAACACCACAAUGCUUAUAAGUAGCAGAUUGGACAUCAAAUAUUUCUCGGUUGUGAUUGAUUUUUAAAUGUAUGUAACUAGUUGGUUGUGUGAAGGAUUU